rnacentral:rRNA from 1 species
UAGGGAAUCUUCCGCAAUGGACGCAAGUCUGACGGAGCAACGCCGCGUGAGUGAAGAAGGAUUUCGGUUCGUAAAACUCUGUUGUUAGAGAAGAACAGCGCAUAGAGUAACUGUUAUGCGUGUGACGGUAUCUAACCAGAAAGCCACGGCUAACUACGUGCCAGCAGCCGCGGUAAUACGUAGGUGGCAAGCGUUGUCCGGAUUUAUUGGGCGUAAAGCGAGCGCAGGCGGUCAAUUAAGUCUGAUGUGAAAGCCCCCGGCUCAACCGGGGAGGGUCAUUGGAAACUGGGUGACGUGAGUGCAGAAGAGGAGAGUGGAAUUCCGUGUGUAGCGGUGAAAUGCGUAGAUAUAUGGAGGAACACCAGUGGCGAAGGCGACUCUCUGGUCUGUAACUGACGCUGAGGCGCGAAAGCGUGGGUAGCAAACAGG